rnacentral:rRNA from 1 species
UAACACAUGCAAGUCGAGCGGAAACGAGUUAUCNGAACCUUCGGGGNACGAUAACGGCGUCGAGCGGCGGACGGGUGAGUAAUGCCUAGGAAAUUGCCCUGAUGUGGGGGAUAACCAUUGGAAACGAUGGCUAAUACCGCAUGAUGCNUACGGGCCAAAGAGGGGGACCUUCGGGCCUCUCGCGUCAGGAUAUGCCUAGGUGGGAUUAGCUAGUUGGUGAGGUAAGGGCUCACCAAGGCGACGAUCCCUAGCUGGUCUGAGAGGAUGAUCAGCCACACUGGAACUGAGACACGGUCCAGACUCCUACGGGAGGCAGCAGUGGGGAAUAUUGCACAAUGGGCGCAAGCCUGAUGCAGCCAUGCCGCGUGUGUGAAGAAGGCCUUCGGGUUGUAAAGCACUUUCAGUCGUGAGGAAGGUAGUGUAGUUAAUAGCUGCAUUAUUUGACGUUAGCGACAGAAGAAGCACCGGCUAACUCCGUGCCAGCAGCCGCGGUAAUACGGAGGGUGCGAGCGUUAAUCGGAAUUACUGGGCGUAAAGCGCAUGCAGGUGGUUUGUUAAGUCAGAUGUGAAAGCCCGGGGCUCAACCUCGGAAUUGCAUUUGAAACUGGCAGACUAGAGUACUGUAGAGGGGGGUAGAAUUUCAGGUGUAGCGGUGAAAUGCGUAGAGAUCUGAAGGAAUACCGGUGGCGAAGGCGGCCCCCUGGACAGAUACUGACACUCAGAUGCGAAAGCGUGGGGAGCAAACAGGAUUAGAUACCCUGGUAGUCCACGCCGUAAACGAUGUCUACUUGGAGGUUGUGGCCUUGAGCCGUGGCUUUCGGAGCUAACGCGUUAAGUAGACCGCCUGGGGAGUACGGUCGCAAGAUUAAAACUCAAAUGAAUUGACGGGGGCCCGCACAAGCGGUGGAGCAUGUGGUUUAAUUCGAUGCAACGCGAAGAACCUUACCUACUCUUGACAUCCAGAGAACUUUCCAGAGAUGGAUUGGUGCCUUCGGGAACUCUGAGACAGGUGCUGCAUGGCUGUCGUCAGCUCGUGUUGUGAAAUGUUGGGUUAAGUCCCGCAACGAGCGCAACCCUUAUCCUUGUUUGCCAGCGAGUAAUGUCGGGAACUCCAGGGAGACUGCCGGUGAUAAACCGGAGGAAGGUGGGGACGACGUCAAGUCAUCAUGGCCCUUACGAGUAGGGCUACACACGUGCUACAAUGGCGCAUACAGAGGGCAGCCAACUUGCGAAAGUGAGCGAAUCCCAAAAAGUGCGUCGUAGUCCGGAUUGGAGUCUGCAACUCGACUCCAUGAAGUCNGAAUCGCUAGUAAUCGUGGAUCAGAAUGCCACGGUGAAUACGUUCCCGGGCCUUGUACACACCGCCCGUCACACCAUG